rnacentral:misc_RNA from 1 species
CUAAAAUAAAAACUGAAACAAAAUCAGAAUAACCCUUAAAAGCUGAUUCUUGUCCCCUAAACCACUGGUUCAGGCUCAAAACCGGAUCGAUACCAGCCCUCGCCCACUCGUAUCCUUUGAAAUUUUCAACACUAGGUGAGGCUGAACAUUAAACAUGAAAAUGUAGAUGGGCUAUUUUUUUAAAAGAUGUCUUAAGUGGAAUUCUAUUUCAGCCAUUUCUCUUUCCUCUUGAUGCCACUUGUACUGUAAAUGCACAUUAGAGGGAAACUAAUUAUAUUUCAGCCAUUUAUCUCUCCUCUUGAUGCUGCUCUUUUCUCUGUAAAUGCAUAUUGGAAGUGUCGUGAAUAUGAUAAUGAUGAUAACAAUUCACUGCGAAAUUAACAAAUCACUUGCAAAAGUAGCCAAUUAAUCACCUGAACAUUGAAGCAUCCCAACCUUCGAAAAAGGAAAAAGAAAUCCGAUUAUAACAGAGUGCACACCUUCUUUCGUAAUCAUUUACAAUUUUCAAAAAUAUAAUGCAAGACCGUAAUUAAUAACUACUAUCAGUACAUUUUAUUGACCAAGUCUUGAUGUUUAUCCUCUCACACAAUACGAUGAAGAAUUUGUUAAAUAUGAUAAAAUAUUUAUUAUCAGGAUAACAAUGGCAAAGCUUUUGGAAUGUCUCGCACACCAUUCUUGCCACAGAAAAAUCUUAGUAGGCUAAGUACUUCAACAAAUUUUGAUUUCCAUGAUGAUGAUUAUAGAACAUUCAAAAUGAUGAUAACUAGGCAAUAUAUUGAAGAUCAAAAUUUCCACUACAACACAGCUACCAAAAUUGACAUGGUGCAAGUAUCAUUCAGCCUGCUAUUUAAAACGCACCAGUUUCAAUUGCCUUCAUAUCUUGGAUCAGCCAUCACAUAAUGAUAU